CCUACCCCAUUCUCUUCCCGCACCCACCUCGCCCAUGCCCCCACCCCUCCCAAUCUCGACCUGGAUCGCCGGUUCGGUCUUCACCAUAGAGAGAACGAGGGGGAGAGAGGCGAUGGGAUGGGAACUGGCAUCCAUGGAUUGGAGUGAGCCGCGAAGCACAUCUCUGCGGAGGUCGAGAUGCCCGGAUCGUUGCCAUUCUUUCUAUACUCAAACGCACCAAAAAAAAGAAAUCAUGGCGACGGUGGCAUCGGGUGCUACUGCCUAUGAGUAUGUCCAUAUCAUCCAGGCGGAGAAUCUCACCGGGAAUGUUCCGUCCAUCCUCUACAGGCGAUAGGGCUAUCCCGAUCUCGUCCUCGAGGAACAACGCUGUUCACCACUGCUUGUCAGGUUGUCGGCUGAAGACCUGUUCAACCAGUGUCUUCGGAUGCUAUUGUCCAAGACAGCCUCCACGCUUCUGCCCUACAUACAGACUAUCCAUGUCUAUCCCUAGAUAUGUGGGGAGGAGCAAGCAGGAGGGCAAGGAGGAGCACACCUCUAUCAUGUACUCCCUCCGUCCAAAAAUACUUGUCGGAGAAAUGAGUGUAUCUAGACGUAUUUUAGUUCUAGAUACACCCAUUUUUAUCCAAUUCUUCGACAAGUAUUUCCGGGCGGAGGGAGUACGUAUGUAUUUUCACUUUAUGAUAGCCAAAACAGAUAUCAUUUUAUUAGAUUGAUGCUUAUAUGAAAAAGAUUGAAACAACUCGUUUAGCUUGAUUGGUUCUCAAAGCCUUCCAUUGAAACAGUACAUCAGAUGGAAGGACAAUCUAAUUUUGUAUUAUCCCGUUUCGAAUUGUAGGCACAUGAUCAUUUUGGGAGCACCAAACAUUAUGUAGUGCUUGAUGCUUAUAUAUGUAAAAGUAACAUAGAAAAAUCCUCUCUAAAGCUAACAUGGUUUUCACAGUAUAAUGUUCAGUUUUGCGUUAAGCACUUAAGAUACACUUCCCCCUCCAUCCCCUCCCUGCACCAUCGCUGCCGCUCAGCCGACGAAGAUGCCGCGUUCUGCGGUGCCGGCGAACUCCCACACGAUUCAUCCUCGACAGUUCGGCAACAGGUAGCAGCAGCUCAUCUGUGACGUCACCAAGGACAGUAAGAACCCGCUGUGUGGCCUUCCCCAAUGAGUCGGUCAUCCUCUGCCCGGUUAUUAUGAAACAUUUCUUGAGGUCUACUUUCAAACCAGUUAUCAACAAGACCAUCUCAGGAACAUAAUACAAGAAUGUCGAAUGAAACAGACAUGCUACUAUUCAUGGAUGGAAUAUGUCUUCAAUUUCAUCAAGUUCAUCCCUGAUCUUAUAGAGCAAAAUUAUGUAAUAUGCAAAUGUAAAUUUGAUUUCAUUUUACCAGAUAAA